rnacentral:rRNA from 1 species
GGACUACACGGGUAUCUAAUCCUGUUUGCUCCCCACGCUUUCGCGCCUCAGCGUCAGUUAUGGUCCAGAUGGCCGCCUUCGCCACCGGUGUUCUUCCCAAUAUCUACGAAUUUCACCUCUACACUGGGAAUUCCACCAUCCUCUCCCACACUCUAGCCCGCCAGUCUCAAGUGCACCUCCGGGGUUAAGCCCCGGGCUUUCACACCUGACUAUUCGAGCCGCCUACGCGCCCUUUACGCCCAGUAAUUCCGAACAACGCUAGCCCCCUUCGUAUUACCGCGGCGGCUGGCAC